rnacentral:rRNA from 1 species
CCUACGGGGGGCUGCAGUGAGGAAUAUUGGUCAAUGGCCGAGAGUCUGAACCAGCCAAGUAGCGUGAAGGAAGACUGCCCUAUGGGUUGUAAACUUCUUUUAUAUGGGAAUAAAAUGUUCCACGUGUGGGUUUUUGUAUGUACCAUAUGAAUAAGCAUCGGCUAACUCCGUGCCAGCAGCCGCGGUAAUACGGAGGAUCCGAGCGUUAUCCGGAUUUAUUGGGUUUAAAGGGUGCGUAGGUGGAUUUUUAAGUCAGUUGUGAAAGUUUGCGGCUCAACCGUAAAAUUGCAGUUGAAACUGGCAGUCUUGAGUACAGUAGAGGUAGGCGGAAUUCGUGGUGUAGCGGUGAAAUGCUUAGAUAUCACGAAGAACUCCGAUUGCGAAGGCAGCUCACUGGACUGCAACUGACACUGAGGCACGAAAGUGUGGGUAUCAAACAGGAUUAGAUACCCGGGUAGUC